UAACCUUUGGAAUGUAGUCCUAAUGGUUCCUGGCAUUUGGGGAAGGAAUCAAUUUUAAGUUUUCAUGGGUAUUUUUGUGAUUUUCUAAACGUGGUUUUGGUUGUCCUGUCAUGAGUUUAAUUUUUGAGUAAACCCUCAGCAUCGUGAGGGUUUUACCGUCCAGUUACAUGGCGAGUUAUAUGUCGUGAUUGGUGGUUUGAGGUACGAGAGCCUG